rnacentral:rRNA from 1 species
AUGCUAAUUUUUAACUUUUAUUGCCAUGGCAAGUUUUACUUUUUAUUUGCCAUGGCUAAUUUACCUUUAUUAACAUGUCAAUUUUUAACUUCUAUUGCCAUGGCAAGAUUUUACUAUUUAUUUGACCUUUUAUUAACAUGGCUGAUAUUACUUUUUUUGCCAUGUCAAAUAUAUGCAAAUUUUAAUAUGAUUUUGGUUAUGAUCAUGGCAAUUUUAACUAUAUGCACCAUGACCAUUUUUCUUCCUUUUUGCAACAUGGCAAAUUUCUUUUGCACGGGACCAUGGCAAAUAGUCUAUGCAUCAUGGACAUUUUAG